GAUGAAGAACGCAGUGAAAUGCGAUACGUAGUGUGAAUUGCAGAAUUCAGUGAAUCAUCGAAUCUUUGAACGCACAUUGCACCUCUCGGUAUUCCGGGAGGUAUGCCUGUUCGAGCGUCAUUUGUACCCUCAAGCUCUGCUUGGUGUUGGGUGUUUGUUCCGCCUCUGUGUGUGAACUCGCCUCAAAACAAUUGGCAGCCGGCGUACUUGUUUCGGAGCGCAGCACAUUUUGCGAUCCAGAUCAACGUACAGCGGCAUCCAAGAAGCCUUAUUUAACGCUCUUGACCUCGGAUCAGGUAGGGAUACCCGCUGAACUUAAGCAUAUCAAUAACCGGAGGA
rnacentral:misc_RNA from 1 species